rnacentral:siRNA from 1 species
UAUGGGUCUCUAGUGAUACGC